AUCUCACGUCCAAAGCGUGACAGGGGCGCUGCCUGGUGCUUGCCAUGGCGAGGCGAGGCGAGCAAAGCAACAGCCAUCGCCCAACUCCAUGCCCUGUAGCUCUCGAUCACCUGCUGCACCUGCACCUGCACCUCCUCUCCCCAUCGUCUACCUCGCUAGCUCUUGCAUCAUGUGUUGGUUGCCUUGGCACCAUGCGACCUCCUCCUCCUCCUCUCUCGCUCCUUCAUCCCCAAUCCAAUCCAUGGCGUUCCUUAUAUAUAAAUCCCACUCUUCUCCACCCCUAGCUAGCUAGCCUAGCUACCACCGCGCCAAGCAUGCAUCAUAAUCAUAUACCAGGAAGCCGCAUCGAUCUGCCUAGCAGCAGCAGCAGCACCAGCAGGCUGCUUCUUCAGUUGUUCCUCUCUUCACUCAGGAAGCUAGUGGAGGACUCCAAAGGGAUCGCAUUGAUCUAGCUCGCUGCUCACCAUCCGCCGCCGCCGGCAUGCCGGCGCCGCGCGCGAGGACAAGAUCAGUGCAAUCCCUUUGGAAUUUUCCACUUGCGCCUCCGCACGCACGCCCUCGGUAUCCGCGCCGCCGCCGUAAAUCUCCUCGAUCGCCGAGCAAGGUACAUACAUACAGUAUAUAUAUGCAGCCAGCCAGCGACCCAACCCGCCAAGAUACUAGACAUUUGGAGGAGGACUAGACAUUGCUCACCGCCGGUAGGGUUCCAGCAGGCCCUCUGACGACGAAUGCAUCCUGGGCGUGAGAGAAAGAUCGAUGUGGCAGUGGGGCUAGCUCUUUAUUAAUUUCUCUUUGCCAGUUAGGGUAAAAGAUGCAAGCAAAGCCCGGACAGGUUGCAUGUAUGAGGAUUGAAUAUGCCUGCGUGCAGCUCCAGAUCACUCGACUACAGCGGCACUGUUUGGUUUAGUAGCAUAGACUUGUAGACAACUUUGACUAUUAAUUAGAGAUAUUAAAUAAAAAAACUAACUUCACAA